CAUUGAAACGCAGUGCCCUUCACUCCACGUGUAACAGCGACGCUGCAGAGGAAUGGUCCCCGCUUUGGACCUUGCAACUCCAACACCUCUGCCCUGCUGACGUCGAGGGGAUUCGCUACUCCUUUUGCUUUUCCAGCCCCUGUGCCGUCGCUGAGGACUGCUCUCAGCACAUACGAUGCUAUCUCCGUGACGGCAGCGUUCUUUGACGCCUUCGAGGACCCCUCUGCUGCAUUCGACUCGCAGCACAAUCUUCUUAGUGUGGCGAUGGAGGAGGUUGGCGCUCCUGGAUGGCGAGAGCACGCGCUUACAAGCUCAGCAUUAGUGUGCAUGCCGCACUCACGGUGCGGCAGAAUCAUGCAGAGAAGGUGCUCUAUGCCCAGAAAUGGAUGAGGGCUUGCCAGAAUUGGGGGCUUUCAUGUACAGCGAUUCAUACCUUGUUCGAUGGACGAGGGGCACGACCCCCACGCAGCGAAAUCUGCAAGAAGGGCGGCUGUGGCUUCCUCAAAGCACAGGGGAGCGGGUCGUACCAUUUGGCAUGCAGUUUGGGUACGUCAGCGUGCGUUUGCGUACAGCAGAGCUAG
rnacentral:misc_RNA from 1 species